UACGGAGGAUGUGAGCGUUAUCCGGAUUUAUUGGGUUUAAAGGGUGCGUAGGCGGGAUGCCAAGUCAGCGGUAAAAAUGCGGUGCUCAACGCCGUCGAGCCGUUGAAACUGGCGUUCUUGAGUGGGCGAGAAGUAUGCGGAAUGCGUGGUGUAGCGGUGAAAUGCAUAGAUAUCACGCAGAACUCCGAUUGCGAAGGCAGCAUACCGGCGCCCUACUGACGCUGAGGCACGAAAGCGUGGGUAUCGAACAGG
rnacentral:rRNA from 1 species